rnacentral:rRNA from 1 species
CAGCAGCCACGGUAAUACAGAGGGUGCGAGCGUUAAUCGGAUUUACUGGGCGUAAAGCGUGCGUAGGCGGCUAAUUGAGUCGGAUGUGAAAUCCCCGAGCUUAACUUGGGAAUUGCAUUCGAUACUGGUUAGCUAGAGUGUGGGAGAGGAUGGUAGAAUUCCAGGUGUAGCGGUGAAAUGCGUAGAGAUCUGGAGGAAUACCGAUGGCGAAGGCAGCCAUCUGGCCUAACACUGACGCUGAGGUACGAAAGCAUGGGGAGCAAACAGGAUUAGAUACCCGAGUAGUCCCUGUCUCUUAUAC